rnacentral:lncRNA from 1 species
GGUUUGCGGACCCACGGGGAGUCGCAGUGGGAAGGCGCGGCCCACUGACUCCCGUCAUGUGACAAGAAGCGGAAACUACGCUGAAAUAGGCCCUUGCUCCAAGUCCCAGUAACUCGGAAUGCGGAGCCGCUCGUCUCCCGUCUUUUUUAAGUGCACUGGUACCAUCAUAGUUCACUACUGCUUCAUACUCCCAGACUCAAGCAAUCCUGCCUCCUUGGUCUCCCAAAGUGCUGAGAUUACAGCUGUGAGCCACCUCCCCUGGCCAUAAAGGAAUAUUUGGUGAAUUACCCAGUCUGACAAAUAGCUGAGGCAUGGGGAAAAAUAACCUGCCACAAUUUGAGAACACACACACAGACUGAAUGACACAGGGGGAAUCCUACAGCUGAGCUAGACAGAUGAAGAUGCAUCUGGCUCAUUUAACAGGUGAGA